CCAGCUGAAGUUCAUCACUUUGACGCCACUGUAUCUGCUGAAUAUAUAAGCAGAGCAGGAGCAAACUGUUAUGUACAUAAACACACCCAAAGUCUCUCCCCCUCCCAGCUAGCUGUCAGGGAAGCAUUCAUUCAGACCCUGCUUACAAACAUAUUCCUUUAGAAACAAAUUCAAUUGUCAUCCCUCCUGAGUUAGACUAGAGGUAAACUUCUCUUCCUCCUGCAUUAAUAUCCAUCAGUGACCGUCUUGUUUUUCAUGAUUGUCAAUCACCAGGGUUGAAGCCAGCCUGGACAUGUUACCUGGGCAUGUAUCAACAAGUAGUGCUUGAAGGUUACACAUAAACAAUAAGAUUUGUACAAAUAUCAAGUGGAAAUUAGUUAGAUAAAUAAGAACUAUCAGUUGCUAUUGAUUAAAUUAAAUAACCAGACAAUAUAGCCUAACUUUUCACAAACCCCCAUGAUUUUUUACAACAGUUCCUGUGGCAAACUGACAAGCCUACACAUCGAAGUACAUUUCAGAGGCUGUCUUUAUCUCUGAAAGAGCUUGAAACUUUUGUUUGUUUCUUUGAAUUGGAAUGGAAUCUCAAAACAGGUGGAACAGUUGCCAUGAAUCAGAUCCCAGGUCCAUCUAAUUGAGUACCCUGUGUCUGACAGUAGCCAACACCAGCUGCUUCAGAGGAAGGUGCACAAAUCAUUGCAAUACACAGUUUUGGAAUAACUUGCACACAGACAGAGACGACAUACCACAGCAAGCAUGGAGCCCGCUCAGCUCACUGUCACCAUAUGUCUCCUGGGUGCUGCUGGCAGACGUGGUACUGCAGUGCUACACAGCAGCAUCCCCUUGCCUUGCCUUGCCUUGCCUUGCGGACAACAGAUGGUGCAAUACGACUGUUAACCGUCGUCGUCAUCCCGUGGGUGCUCCUGGCCAGCCUCGGUGAGGUCGGUCGGGGGCGCCUGGACAAAAAUGGGAAUGACUCCAGGUCAUUCUCUUCUUUAAGUUUCAUCUAAUGGAGAUUCAGUCCUGCCUAGAAUAUCAUGCCAGCUGGAGGCUUCUGCCUCAGGCUGCUCUCCCAGUCGGCAGCACCGCGUGGUCGCACCUACCCCAGCCUACCCCUGGCUCAUGAAGCCUGGACAGUAGUAAGGAGCAGUUCAACUAUAGGCUGAGCAAGUGCAUAAUGGUGGUAGAAUGUGCAUUUGGACAUUUAAAAGCUUGCUGGCACAGUUUACUGACUCGGUUAGGCCUCAGCGAAACUAAUAUUCCCAUUGUUAUUACUGCUUGCUGUGUGCUCCACAAUAUCUGUGAGAGUAAGGGGGAGACAAUUAUGGCGGGAUGGGAGGUUGAGGCAAAUCGCCUGGCCACUGAUUACACGCAGCCAGACACCAGGGCGGUUAGAAGAGCACAGUAGGGCGCGCUGUGCAUCAGAAAAGCUUUGAAAACCAGUUUCAUGACUGGCCAGGCUACGGUGUGACAGUUCUGUUUGUUUCUCCUUGAUGAAAACCCGCCCCCUUGGUUCACUCUACUUCCCUGUAAGCCAACCGCCCUCCCCUCCCCCCUUUGAUCUCUGCUUGCAGAGGUAAUAAAGUCAUUGUUGUUUCAAA